CUCUGAAUCUGGACCUGGGCCUGGGCCUCAGCGCGGGCGGAGGCGAAGGCCUGUUUGAGGGAGUGGUCGCCGGGGAAAUUGGCAUCUCGUUGCAAAAAAGUAUCCAAGGAGCGCGGGAGAGCUCGGCGUAGAGUGGGCGUCCAGUAAGUGUUUAUAAAUAGCUAUUAGCCCGGCCUUUGUUGUUUUUUUGUUUUGUUCUGUGUUGAGGACCUGCGUAGGCACAAAAAUUGGCCUUCAACAGCCAGUCGACAGCUCUGGGGAGAAGGUGGCUAGGUUGUAGGAGUUCACUUCGGGAAGAAACAGACGCUGGCGGCACCUUCCUUCUCUUUCUGGCAGCCCCGAAUCACGAGCCCCAGAGGUGUUUACACUCGAGAGACGCACAGGACAGUCAAGGAAUCACAUAUUGAAGAGCCUUGCCAGGCGUUGCAAGUGUGAGUGGAUUUUGUUGGAAGAGAUGUAGGCGCACUCUCGGAGCUGGAGGCGAACUUCGAAUCCUACGACACACCUGUUAACUAGGUUACCUGUUUGUUUGGUGGGGGAAGGCAUAGGCUCUGCUUUUGACUUUAUGCCUCUUUUAUUUCACAUUUUUUACAAGACGCAUGCAUUUCUUUUUCAUUUAAAACGCAUUAAUGAUUUAUUUUCACCAACCAGGAACUACUUUUAGUCCCUCCAAAACCAAUGAUUAGCCAGUUCUAAAGUCAUUUCUUAGGUCACGUCGCCCAGAAAAUCUCUACACCCACCGUACGCCUUCGCCACUCAUACUCAGUGCUUCAUUCUAUCCUCCACAUCACCGCCUGGGCCAUUCCCUCUUUGACCAGAAAGCCCCUAAAGCUCCAAACUGGUGUUCUCUUACCCCUGGGGUUUAUGGAGACCAGUUUUAAGGGAAUUCAUUUCCACAUCUUCCAUUGCUAUAUAUUCUAUUUUCUAAACUUGCCCAGCUUGAGAAAGGAGCUGAGGACACAGCAUCCCCUUUCAAAACUGUCCUCCCACCUUACAGAAGAAAGUCAAAAUUCUCACCCACUACUAAGGUGCAUGGGAUCAAUGCAGAACCUCCCCAGCAAUCCAAAAGGGACAAUUCAAAAAUCGGUAUCUAUGCUGAGAAAGUAAAUGACCUUAGUGAAUGGAUAUUAAAUUAUUUUUCAAGUCAGAUAGUUUUCAAAUCUUUUCUGUCAACAAAACUGAAGGAAGAUCUGUCAGCUGAUAGAUUACAAAACAUGAUUUGGUAACAGAUCAAUAUGUGAAUCUUAGGUAAUAUACCUCAGAAGAAGUUUUUAAGAAAUUGAGACAUUGUUAUAACUAAACUUCUUCUAUUCCGUCUGUAUUAGUUACCUAUUGCUGUAUAACAAUCUCACCACAAAUAUAGAAGCCUAAAACAACAAACAUUUAUGAUCUUACAGAUUCUCUGAGUCAGGAUUCCAGGCAUGGCUUAGCUGGGUCCUCUACAAAGUGAGGCUGGAACAAAGGAUCUGCUUCCAAGUUCAUGUGGUUGUUGGCACCAUUCAGUUCCUUGCAGGCUACAGGACUGAGGGCCUUAGUCCUUUGCAGGCUGUUGGCUGGAGACCCCCUCUGUUCCUUGCCAUGUGGUGCUCUCCAUAGGGAAGCUAACAAUAUGGCAGCUUGCCUCUUCGAAGCCAGCAACGGGAAGAGUCUCAGCAAGACACUGGUUUCAAUCUUAUGUAACAUCAUCACAUACACAGUAUCACUCAUACUCUGUCACCUUUGCCAUACAUUGCUGGCCAGAAGCAAAUCACAGGCGCCACCUACAUUGAAGGGGAAGGAAACACACAAAAGCUUGAACACCAGGAGGUGGGAAUCAUAUGGGGCCUCUUUAGAGUCUACCACACCAUGUAUUUAUUUAUGCAAAUGAUAUUCCCUGUAAGCUCAACCUCUUCUCAGAAUUUCCCUUCAGGUUCCCUUCACCUUUUUACUUAAGGAAACCCAACUUUGCCCUGGGACACUGCUCCUCCUUCCACCUCUCAAGUAGU
rnacentral:lncRNA from 1 species